GGAAUUGCAACCUGCUAAUAGUCACUAGGAGCACAACCACAAGGAGCACACCAUAUACUAUCCAUAUGGCCAGUAGCGAGCUUCUGCAAAUACAGGAAGCCAGCAAUAAGAUUGCAACCAUGGGGCUCCACAGCGACAUCUGACGGCGUAACCGACUGUUGAUACGUAGGCGCAGUCCUAGAACUCCAGCACAUAGAAACUGGCCAACC
rnacentral:misc_RNA from 1 species